CACAGUGUUCAGCUCUGCAUGCAGUAGCAGAGGGCAGAUUUCCUGGCAUUAGCCAAGACUAUUGGGUUUUAUAUGGGAAUCUGUCACAGCCAGAAACAGUGAUUGAGCACCUGGUGAAGGGGUGUAGCCAGCCCUGGGAGCACAGGUGGAAACAACUCACCUGUGCAACCAGGAGGUCCCUAAGCGACCAGAAGCUCCUUAACCUCACGUUAAGAGCUGGCAGCCAUAAGGGAAGCAUCUCUACUUGGAGAUCACCUCCUUUGAGGGUUUCUAGCAGGCCCUGAUCUUCGUAAGAGGGACUGGUGUGUGCUACUUCACCAUGUAUCCUGCCCACGAUAGUUCCUUCGAGAUGUUACUGAAUUACAAGGUCUGAGAAAUCCCAACCACUAGCCAACAGAUCCCUAAGAACAGCAUCAAGACACAAAGGGAUGUGUUCUUCACUAAUUUGAUACAGAAACCGGUGAUACUGCAGGCAAAGCCAUGGGAAGAUGUGAUCCAAGGACUUUUUUCUGUGAAAAGAAAGCUAAGCAUGCAAGAGUCAACCAGAGAUCUACUGACUUCAGCUCAAACGAUGUACCUCUUUUUAACUUCUAUAAGUUAAAGCCAUAGGAGAAAUCUGUUUUCAAAAUGAAGCUUGUCAGUUUUUGAUAUGCUGCUGGAUUUUGUGUGCUUCAAAAAGGUUUAUACUCUUUUGUUUUCUUUUGCUGUUCUACGUCAUUGAUGCUUCUAUUUAUUUAUAAAUGCUUAUACUACAAAGAUUUCUGACUUAAAGGUAAGCAUCCUACUAAUGAACGCAAAAGUACAGUUGUCAAAUAUUUCCGGAACACCUACAGAAAUCAACUUUCUACAGUAUAUGGGAUGAUAGGUGUUACAUUGCAAUAGUAGAAUCAAAAUACCUGAAGUCACCACAAUCCAAAGGAAUUUUAGUAGUAAUGCAAAUGUAUAAACACAGCUCUGGAGUAGCAGUGUGCUCCAUUUUUAAUGUUAGCCUUGUUAACUUUUUUCUAGCUCCUUCCUCAUAGGUGCAAUGUGUGUAUGUUCUAGCAGGUCUUGAUAUGCUCUAUGUGAUACUAACUAAGAAAAUGGAAAAAUAACCAAAUAAAUGAUUAAAAAAGCCCAACAGUUUACAUAAAUAGCUGCAGGAAAACAUUUGUAAAGGCUAAGAAGGAUGGAACAAUAAUGCAGUAAGAUACAUGAAUUUAAAGGUUCUUAGUGGAUUUUUCUUUCAUGAGUUUCCUACCUGACUGUAAAAUAUAAGCCUUUAUCUGUUAAAUUAAGAGAUUUACAAUACAGCAUAUUUGUACUUGGGAAUUAUACUUCACUGUGGUAUAUAGAAAUUCACAGUGCUCUUUUUUUCCAAAUUUCCCUCUAUAAAGUGUUAAUCCCUGCAUUUUUACUUCAGGAAUGAUGAAUAGGCAGAUGAUGACACAUGUAACCAUUUUAUUCUCCAGGUCAGAGUUAUGCUGUAGUUUUCCUAGGCUUGUUAUUUUCUGCAUCUUUUCCACUUAUUUUCAGAUCAGGAAAGUCAUGAACAGGUUUAUUUGUGUGUGUGUGGAGUAUUCUUUGUUGUUAACUAGAAUGAGCACAUACAGCAAGUGGGCUAGUUUAGCUGGUAUGUAUCAUUUGAAAGCAGAUUUUUAAGCAAAUGACUGAAUUUUUUUUGCAUGAUAAACCCAGGAACAUAUGGCCAUGUGGCUGC
ensembl:lncRNA